rnacentral:rRNA from 1 species
UAGGGAAUCUUCCGCAAUGGGCGAAAGCCUGACGGAGCAACGCCGCGUGAGUGAUGAAGGUCUUCGGAUCGUAAAACUCUGUUAUUAGGGAAGAACAAAUGUGUAAGUAACUAUGCACAUCUUGACGGUACCUAAUCAGAAAGCCACGGCUAACUACGUGCCAGCAGCCGCGGUAAUACGUAGGUGGCAAGCGUUAUCCGGAAUUAUUGGGCGUAAAGCGCGCGUAGGCGGUUUUUUAAGUCUGAUGUGAAAGCCCACGGCUCAACCGUGGAGGGUCAUUGGAAACUGGAAAACUUGAGUGCAGAAGAGGAAAGUGGAAUUCCAUGUGUAGCGGUGAAAUGCGCAGAGAUAUGGAGGAACACCAGUGGCGAAGGCGACUUUCUGGUCUGUAACUGAAGCUGAUGUGCGAAAGCGUGGGGAUCAAACAGG